UACUGUUUUAAGGACUACAUAGUCAGCCUUGUCAUUUACAUUGUGCCUAAGGGCUGGACAACCAGCUUACUAUGUUCUUUAGUAGUUGGAGUUAACUGCAUAAUGUUGCUGUUCACUCCAUCUAUAUUCGCAUUAUAGAAAAUU